UAGGGAAUCUUCCACAAUGGACGCAAGUCUGAUGGAGCAACGCCGCGUGAGUGAAGAAGGUUUUCGGAUCGUAAAGCUCUGUUGUUGGUGAAGAAGGAUAGAGGCAGUAACUGGUCUUUAUUUGACGGUAAUCAACCAGAAAGUCACGGCUAACUACGUGCCAGCAGCCGCGGUAAUACGUAGGUGGCAAGCGUUGUCCGGAUUUAUUGGGCGUAAAGCGAGCGCAGGCGGAAUGAUAAGUCUGAUGUGAAAGCCCACGGCUCAACCGCGGAACUGCAUCGGAAACUGUCAUUCUUGAGUGCAGAAGAGGAGAGUGGAAUUCCAUGUGUAGCGGUGGAAUGCGUAGAUAUAUGGAAGAACACCAGUGGCGAAGGCGGCUCUCUGGUCUGCAACUGACGCUGAGGCUCGAAAGCAUGGGUAGCGAACAGG
rnacentral:rRNA from 1 species